UUUGCCGGCAUCACUGUCAGCUCCUCUUAAAUGCAUUAGCGGAACUUUAUUGAGGACCAGCUUUGGUUUGAUAAUCCUAUCUAUGCCGUCGCUGUGGACUUUGCCUGUUCAGCUUCUAAUGGUCUUCGGACUGUCUCUCCAAUGAGGCAUACACUUUUAAGCUUGACCUCAAAUCAGGUAGGACUACCCGCUGAACUUAA
rnacentral:misc_RNA from 1 species